CCUACGGGUGGCAGCAGUGAGGAAUAUUGGUCAAUGGGCGCGAGCCUGAACCAGCCAAGUCGCGUGAGGGAAGACGGUCCUAUGGAUUGUAAACCUCUUUUGUCGGGGAGCAAAAGACGCCACGCGUGGCGUUCCGAGAGUACCCGAAGAAAAAGCAUCGGCUAACUCCGUGCCAGCAGCCGCGGAAAUACGGGGGAUGCGAGCGUUAUCCGGGUUUAUUUGGGUAAAAGGGUGCGUAGGCGGAAUGCCAAGUCAGCGGUAAAAUUGCGGGGAUGAACCUCUGUCCGCAGUUGAAACUGGCGUUGUUGAGGGGGCGAGAAGUAUGCGGAAUGCGUGGUGUAGCGGUGAAAUGCAUAGAUAUCACGCAGAACUCCGAGUGCGAAGGCAGCAUACCGGCGCCCAACUGACGCUGAAGCACGAAAGCGUGGGUAUCGAACAGGAUUAGAUACCCGGGUAGUC
rnacentral:rRNA from 1 species